CCCUUUUGCAACAAGGAAGCAGAAAAGACAAAAGCUAUUUGCCAGCCUGGUGCGGGAAUCAACAGAAUAGAGAGAUGGUUCUGCUGCAAUUUCCAUCAAGGGUGGCCAAGCCUCCAGUCUUCUUGUCCAGAAGUAAGUGGCAUCAACCAACUCUGCCAAACUGCAUUUCCUGCCUCCUGAUCUGGGGUCUUUUCCUUUUCUUUUUUCACACAGGGAGUAUUUCCAUCCUCUCUGUCCAGGCAGCUGAGCCUUGACAACCUCUCCUCCCCUUCACCAUGCCCCGACUGAUCUCCUAAUGGAGCCCCACCCCUCGAGUCCCUGGGCCUGUGGAAGAGUCCGUGAGACCAGAUGCUACAGCAAAUGUUCCAGAGAAAUGAACCUAGAAAAUGAUCCCGGGGUGCUCCUUGCGGGGGAACACAGGACUCCUCAGCUCUAUCUCUGUGGCUUUAACAUACAUCAGUUUCAGGAAUCUCCAGCCUCAACAGAGAUAAAUGCCAGCCAACCCAGCUCCCUGGCACCCCCACCUGGUCCUGCAAGAACAGCUGACUGGCCAUCUGCACGAUCUGGUCCACGUGGAUGAUGCCCCCGAUGCUGGUCAUCUCCGUGUCCGAGAGCAGCGUCAGCACCAUGAUGGCUUCCACCAGCAGCUGCCGGUACUCGGGCUGCGGCACGCGGUUCAGCACCGAUUCGACAUGGACAGCAAACUUGAUCUCAUGCGGGGUCAUCUACCAAAGGGACAGGCAGGCAACCACCAGUGAGAGGACAGAUGCAGCCCUAUCAAUCAAUCACCGAGUAACCAAGGGUGACCGUAGCAGUGCCUGGGCUCGGGGCUCAGCGCCACUGCUGCCCCUUUUCUGGCCACUCCCUGGAUCCUGCUGGCAGUGGCCCUCAGAGCAGGAGGCUGGAGUAUGCCUCCAGGAGCCAGCCUGUCCUCGCCUGAUUUAUCUACCCUUCCCCCCAUCGACUACAGCUUCCAGGGAGCAGGGACCAUUUCUGGUUUCUCUUUCCUCUUCAUUAUUCCUUCCAGCAUGAAGCAUGGUGCUUUGGGUGGGGUAAAACUAAAAAAAAAUCCAUGUUAAAAAGAAUGACAAAUCACCUAGGGACGAUUACUGUUUUUAGUUGGAGAAAAGGGCCGAGAAGGCUGCCCAUGGGGCAGGCCAGGGUGGCAUGGAGAUUGGCUCCUUUCUUUCACCAGGGUUCUAAGGGGUGUCUGGCAAAUGCAAAGAGCUUGCUAGCCCAGAAAUGCUGAGUCUCAGGUGAAGAAAAAGGCUGAUGCCAAUAAAUGCUGGAAAGACA